rnacentral:piRNA from 1 species
UGGUGUCCUUAUCUUCUUCUUAUGAAGCUU